rnacentral:rRNA from 1 species
GAACCCUAGCUUGCUGGGGGGAUUAGUGGCGAACGGGUGAGUAACACGUGAGUAACCUGCCCUUGACUCUGGGAUAAGCCUGGGAAACUGGGUCUAAUACCGGAUAUGACUCCUCAUCGCAUGGUGGGGGGUGGAAAGCUUUUGUGGUUUUGGAUGGACUCGCGGCCUAUCAGCUUGUUGGUGGGGUAAUGGCCUACCAAGGCGACGACGGGUAGCCGGCCUGAGAGGGUGACCGGCCACACUGGGACUGAGACACGGCCCAGACUCCUACGGGAGGCAGCAGUGGGGAAUAUUGCACAAUGGGCGCAAGCCUGAUGCAGCGACGCCGCGUGAGGGAUGACGGCCUUCGGGUUGUAAACCUCUUUCAGUAGGGAAGAAGCCCCUUUUGGGGGUGACGGUACUUGCAGAAGAAGCGCCGGCUAACUACGUGCCAGCAGCCGCGGUAAUACGUAGGGCGCAAGCGUUAUCCGGAAUUAUUGGGCGUAAAGAGCUCGUAGGCGGUUUGUCGCGUCUGCUGUGAAAGACCGGGGCUCAACUCCGGUUCUGCAGUGGGUACGGGCAGACUAGAGUGCAGUAGGGGAGACUGGAAUUCCUGGUGUAGCGGUGAAAUGCGCAGAUAUCAGGAGGAACACCGAUGGCGAAGGCAGGUCUCUGGGCUGUAACUGACGCUGAGGAGCGAAAGCAUGGGGAGCGAACAGGAUUAGAUACCCUGGUAGUCCAUGCCGUAAACGUUGGGCACUAGGUGUGGGGGACAUUCCACGUUUUCCGCGCCGUAGCUAACGCAUUAAGUGCCCCGCCUGGGGAGUACGGCCGCAAGGCUAAAACUCAAAGGAAUUGACGGGGGCCCGCACAAGCGGCGGAGCAUGCGGAUUAAUUCGAUGCAACGCGAAGAACCUUACCAAGGCUUGACAUGAACCGGAAAGACCUGGAAACAGGUGCCCCGCUUGCGGUCGGUUUACAGGUGGUGCAUGGUUGUCGUCAGCUCGUGUCGUGAGAUGUUGGGUUAAGUCCCGCAACGAGCGCAACCCUCGUUCUAUGUUGCCAGCGGUUCGGCCGGGGACUCAUAGGAGACUGCCGGGGUCAACUCGGAGGAAGGUGGGGACGACGUCAAAUCAUCAUGCCCCUUAUGUCUUGGGCUUCACGCAUGCUACAAUGGCCGGUACAAAGGGUUGCGAUACUGUGAGGUGGAGCUAAUCCCAAAAAGCCGGUCUCAGUUCGGAUUGGGGUCUGCAACUCGACCCCAUGAAGUCGGAGUCGCUAGUAAUCGCAGAUCAGCAACGCUGCGGUGAAUACGUUCCCGGGCCUUGUACACACCGCCCGUCAAGUCACGAAAGUUGGUAACACCCGAAG